GUGCAGCCCAGGCCCUCUCCUCUCCCUCUCUCGCAGCUGCUGCCUUCUCUCUUCAUUCCCUCUUCCAUUUCCGAUUCCGCAAAUUCACCUUCUCGGCGUCAUCUUCUUCUAUUCCUCUCAGCCUCUCACGGUCGCAGCACCACUCGCCCGCUCACACCAGGAGGGAGAGAGAAUUUCAAGUGGUUAUCAAAUUUCCUGCAAGUAAUUUCGAGUUUUCCUCUACUUGGUUGAGUUUAUUGUUGCUCGUGUAAUAGUUAGCACCUGUCUUUUCUUGUAAUUUCUCGUUAAGCAUAGGAUGACCGCCGAGUAUUUCACAAAAUGUCUCAAAGAAAUAUGACAUUUUGGGUUAUUUGCUACUUUACUUGUAAAUCCAAGUUUUGCUAUGAAAAUUGUAUUUAUCAGGAAAUUCGAUAAAACCGCUUGCUGACGA